UACAGGGGGGGCAAGCGUUGUUCGGAAUUACUGGGCGUAAAGGGCGCGUAGGCGGCCUGUUAAGUCGAACGUGAAAUCCCUGGGCUCAACCCAGGAACUGCGUCCGAUACUGGCAGGCUUGAAUUCGGGAGAGGGAUGCGGAAUUCCAGGUGUAGCGGUGAAAUGCGUAGAUAUCUGGAGGAACACCGGUGGCGAAGGCGGCAUCCUGGACCGAUAUUGACGCUGAGGCGCGAAAGCCAGGGGAGCAAACGGG
rnacentral:rRNA from 1 species